rnacentral:other from 1 species
CGCCUCCUGCAGUGUUCGAUACCGAUCUGGUUACCUUUCGACCCUAAAUUAUUACCUCGGGGUCGUGCACUGUCGGCAGCAUUUGAGCAGGACCGUGUACGCGGAAAGCCUGUUGCUGCCACGGCUGACCCCACCUGUUGCUCCGGUUCGAGAGCGACGGUCUGUAACGGCACAGGCGGGAGGCGC